rnacentral:rRNA from 1 species
UACGGAGGGGGCUAGCGUUGUUCGGAAUUACUGGGCGUAAAGCGCGCGUAGGCGGCUUUGUAAGUUAGAGGUGAAAGCCCGGAGCUCAACUCCGGAAUUGCCUUUAAGACUGCAUCGCUAGAAUCAUGGAGAGGUCAGUGGAAUUCCGAGUGUAGAGGUGAAAUUCGUAGAUAUUCGGAAGAACACCAGUGGCGAAGGCGACUGACUGGACAUGUAUUGACGCUGAGGUGCGAAAGCGUGGGGAGCAAACAGG